rnacentral:rRNA from 1 species
UUAGCUAGUUGGCGGGGUAACGGCCCACCAAGGCGAAGAUCGGUAUCCGGCCUGAGAGGGCGCACGGACACACUGGAACUGAAACACGGUCCAGACUCCUACGGGAGGCAGCAGUGGGGAAUUUUGCGCAUGGACGAAAGUCUGACGCAGCAACGCCGCGUGAGGGACGAAGGCUUUCUGAGUUGUAAACCUCUUUCAGCAGGGACGAUUGUGACGGUACCUGCAGAAGAAGCACCGGCCAACUACGUGCCAGCAGCCGCGGUGAUACGUAGGGUGCAAGCGUUGUCCGGAUUUAUUGGGCGUAAAGAGCUCGUAGGCGGCUUGGCAAGUCGGGUGUGAAAUCUCCAGGCUCAACCUGGAGCGGCCACUCGAUACUGCCAUGGCUAGAGUCCGGUAGGGGACCAUGGAAUUCCUGGUGUAGCGGUGAAAUGCGCAGAUAUCAGGAGGAACACCAGCAGCGAAGGCGGUGGUCUGGGCCGGUACUGACGCUGAGGAGCGAAAGCGUGGGGAGCGAACAGGAUUAGAUACCUGGUAGUCCACGCCGUAAACGUUGGGCACUAGGUGUGGGGCCUUAUCGACGGGUUCCGUGCCGCAGCUAACGCAUUAAGUGCCCCGCCUGGGGAGUACGGCCGCAAGGCUAAA